CUACAUGUACACAGGGCCAGAUUAAAAGCCCUGUAGGCCUGGUGCUGACAAUUAUGACGGGCCUAAUUACAGAAUCAUAUCAACCAAAAACAGUAAAACACUCCCAAGCGUCAUGUAUCUGAUGGAGAUGGUGCUGGAGAGAAAGUAAACAGCAGCUAUAAGAAAACACAUACCUUAGGCUAAUCUCUCACUAAUUUAUGUUUUCAUCUUUCAAGUAAAUCCAUA